AAACCUCUUUUCUCAGGGAAUAAGCAAGUGAAGGUACCUGAGGAAUCAGCAUCGGCUAACUCCGUGCCAGCAGCCGCGGUAAUACGGAGGAUGCAAGCGUUAUCCGGAAUGAUUGGGCGUAAAGCGUCCGUAGGUAGCAGUGUGUGUCUACUGUUAAAGAGUUUGGCUUAACCAAAUAAAAGCAGUAGAAACUACACAGCUAGAGUGCGUUCGGGGCAGAGGGAAUUCCUGAGUGUAGCGGUGAAAUGCGUAGAGAUCAGGAAGAAACACCGGUGGCGAAAGCGCUCUGUUAUGCCGCAACUGACACUGAGGGACGAAAGCUAGGGGAGCGAAUGGGAUUAGAUACCCCAGUAGUCCUAGCCGUAAACUAUGGAUACUAGGCGUUGAGAGUAUCGACCCUCUCAGUGCCGUAACUAACACGUUAAGUAUCCCGCCUGGGGGAGUACGCACGCAAGUUGUGAAACUCUAAGGAAUUGACUGGGGCCCGCACAAGCGGUGGAUAUUGGGGUUUAUUUCUAUGCAUCGCGAUAUCCUUAUCCUGGUUUUGAUAUGUUGGGAUCUUGGGUGAUCUCAGAUUGCCUUCGGUGCCUUAUCACAGGUUAUUGCAUGGUUGUCAUCUGCUGUGUCUGU
rnacentral:rRNA from 1 species